UAACCACCCUGGCGUCAU
rnacentral:misc_RNA from 1 species